UGGGGUGUAUUUGGGAAUCCUGUAAAAGAAGAGGAGAAGACCAUAAAUCAAUAAAUCUGUGGAAGAAAAGAAAAGAUGGAUUUCAGCCUAAAUUUUCUGAGGAUAGUUCUGUCGAUUGUAAUGAGCAGGACAGGGACAGCAACUUCAUAUACAAAUGCAGGAUGUAGAUUCACUGAUCGAAGGAGGAGGAGGAGGAGAUUGUUUAACCAUAGGAAAAAUUUGUUCAGAAUUCCUAAAACCAAAGUACGAAAACGGUACAGAUUAUCUAGUGCUGCAAUACUUGAGCUAUACAAUAAAAUCAAGGAAGACAUCACACCACACACAAAGAGAACUAAGGCUAUCAGUGGUCUCACUAAACUUUUGGUAACUUUACAUUAUCUUGCUUCUGGCACGUUUCAGAGUACAGUGUCAUCAGUUGGCGGUGUGAGCCAAUCCUCUUUUAGCCGGUUUUUUGAGAAGGUGUUAGAUGCCAUCCUUAAGCACACCUCAGAUUACAUUCAUUUCCCAAAAACAACUUCAGAGUGGAUAAACCUAAAAAGAGGUUUUUUUGAAAAGGCAAAGUUCCCAAAUGUGGUUGGGGCCAUCGACUGUACCCACAUUCCAAUUUCGCCUUCACACGAAUUAGAUGAGGUUUGCAGGAACAGGAAAAACUUUCACUCGAUGAACAUUCAGGCCAUCUGUGACCACAAUUAUAAAUUUUUAAACAUCUUUGCAGCUUUUCCGGGGAGUACACAUGACGCCUACAUUUUAAGGCAUUCAAAUGUGUACCAAAAAUUUGAAAACGGUGACUAUCCAGACUGCUGGUUACUAGGGGAUUCAGGAUAUGGCUGCAGGCCCUGGCUAUUGACUCCUGUUCCAAGACCCAGGCAUAGAAAUGAAAAAAAAUAUAAUAGAGCUCAUAUUACAACUCGUGGAAUAAUUGAGCGAGCUUUUGGCAUCCUAAAAAGUCGCUUCCGGUGUAUUUCACAUUCAGGUGGCACUUUACUAUAUUCUGCUGCAAAAGUCUGUAAAAUCUUCACCGUAUGCUGCAUUCUUCACAACAUGUGUAUUGACUAUAGCAUUGAAUGGGAGCGAAAAGUAAGGGUCACUGAGGUAAAUGCCUCAAAUCGCUCUGAUGAAUAUCAUGGUAGUACCUUACAUGGUGCUGGUGCUCGUUCCCAAUUGAUUCAAAGUUAUUUUAGUUAAUGUGGGCAAGAAACCUCAGCCUUUAUGAAUGUUUUUCUGAUUUAUGUGUUAAUGCAGUUGCUCAGAAUAGGUUACCCAUUGGUUCUCUUGGCAGUGUUUAUUAUAUUUCUGUUGUUUAAAAAAAAAAAAAAAAAAAAGAAUAUCUACUUAAAAAAAAUACUGUGA